UACGGGGGGAGCAAGCGUUGUUCGGAUUUACUGGGCGUAAAGGGCGCGUAGGCGGUAGCACAAGUCAGUUGUGAAAUCUCCGGGCUUAACUCGGAAAGGUCAACUGAUACUGUGCGACUAGAGUGCAGAAGGGGCAACUGGAAUUCUCGGUGUAGCGGUGAAAUGCGUAGAUAUCGAGAGGAACACCUGCGGCGAAGGCGGCUCUCUGGACAGUUCCUGACACUGAGGCACGAAGGCCAGGGGAGCAAACGGG
rnacentral:rRNA from 1 species